CAGCAGUGGGGAAUAUUGCACAAUGGGGGAAACCCUGAUGCAGCGACGCCGCGUGGAGGAAGAAGGUUUUCGGAUUGUAAACUCCUGUCGUUAGGGACGAUAAUGACGGUACCUAACAAGAAAGCACCGGCUAACUACGUGCCAGCAGCCGCGGUAAAACGUAGGGUGCAAGCGUUGUCCGGAAUUACUGGGUGUAAAGGGAGCGCAGGCGGGAAGACAAGUUGGAAGUGAAAUCUAUGGGCUCAACCCAUAAACUGCUUUCAAAACUGUUUUUCUUGAGUAGUGCAGAGGUAGAUGGAAUUCCCGGUGUAGCGGUGGAAUGCGUAGAUAUCGGGAGGAACACCAGUGGCGAAGGCGGCCUACUGGGCACCAACUGACGCUGAGGCUCGAAAGCAUGGGUAGCAAACAGGAUUAGAUACCCUGGUAGUCCAUGCCGUAAACGAUGAUUACUAGGUGUUGGGGGAUUGACCCCCUCAGUGCCGCAGUUAACACAAUAAGUAAUCCACCUGGGGAGUACGACCGCAAGGUUGAAACUCAAAGGAAUUGACGGGGGCCCGCACAAGCAGUGGAGUAUGUGGUUUAAUUCGAAGCAACGCGAAGAACCUUACCAGGUCUUGACAUCCGAUGCAUAGCACAGAGAUGUGUGAAAUCCUUCGGGACAUCGAGACAGGUGGUGCAUGGUUGUCGUCAGCUCGUGUCGUGAGAUGUUGGGUUAAGU
rnacentral:rRNA from 1 species